CUAGGUUGAGUGCUGUACCUGGAAGGACCGUCUCUGCCCACAUCUUUGUCUUCUUAGAACUAUUGUGUCUGGGAUUGCCUGGGUGGUGAAGGGAAGUGAAACCUCAGCAAUGACUGACAUGAAUUCUCCUGCCAGUGAGGACAGAGAACAGAGGGGUGCUCAAGGUCAAGUUGUACACUUGGAGGCUGGAGAAGAAGCCCAGGAACUCAUUCAGAGAAAGCCCAGGGAGCCAAGUGGAGGUGUACACCCACCUUGUCAUGUGCAGCCUGCCUGGGAACACACAGUGUCUCUGAAGCUGACUGAGGAGGAGAACAGACCUUGAGAAGAAAAACAGCAGCGUGGAGAAGAAAAACCAGAGUGGGGCGUGGGGAGAAAGGAGAGCUGUCAGCUAGUAUUUCCUGCAGAAGCAGAGUCUGAGACAAGAGCUUGCAUACAAGUCAUUUAUUAUGGGAAUUACCCCCAGAACAAGACUGAGGAACUGGGGACAGUGACCCAAGGAAGGAGGGAGAGCUGUUCCAAGGUGUGCUGCCUUAUCAAGCUCAUCUCCAAGGAGACCAAUUGGGCUCCCACCUGUUUGCCGCUAAAGAGAACCAAAGAACAAGCUUCAAAAUUGUUCA
rnacentral:lncRNA from 13 species